GGAAGGGUGGCAGAGCCCGGUUGAAUGCACUGGUCUUGAAAACCAGCGACCCGCAAGGGUCCGUGGGUUCGAAUCCCACCCCUUCCG
rnacentral:tRNA from 1 species